AGCGUAGACGGAAUGGCAAGUCUGAUGUGAAAGACCGGGGCUCAACCCCGGGACUGCAUUGGAAACUGUCAAUCUAGAGUACCGGAGGGGUAAGUGGAAUUCCUAGUGUAGCGGUGAAAUGCGUAGAUAUCGGGAGGAACACCAGUGGCGAAAGCGGCCUACUGGGCACCAACUGACGCUGAGGCUCGAAAGUGUGGGUAGCAAACA
rnacentral:rRNA from 1 species